CUUGCAAUAAUCUUUUCUCGCUAAAGAGAUAAACGCUUUUUCUCCUCUGCACUUUUGUCUUUGCUGAUAGUCUGCUCAGUUUUAGUAGGUUCUUCCUGUUCUUCUGACUGACUCUUUGAAUCAUACUUUAAUUUGGGGACAAGUCCACCAAUAUAACCACCUACUAAAGCCUGUACACCUUUGGUGGGAUGAGAAAGAAAGUUAGCAAUACUAUGUUUAGUAGACACUGGAAGAAGCUCAGGUGUCCCACGGGGACUUGCAGGCUUGUCCUCAGGAUCUAAAGAAGAUUCUGAGCCGGCUUGUCAGUCAAGAUGGCAGGGUCUGGAGAACUGCUUCCCCUUCUUCAACAUUUUUACCUUCAAGUUCUGAUUUGUCCAGCACAUGUUGAUUUUCCUUUUUUUGAGACAUUUUUUCCUCACAUUUGAAAUAUGAAUUAAUAUGAUUUGAAAAAAAGUAGAAUGAUUCUCCAAAUUUUGUGGUUAUAGAACUCAUGUAAUGAAAAGACUUUGUUUACCUGUAUCUUCUUCUUUAUCUAUAGAGAGGAAGAUCUUGUGGAGAAAGAUUCUUCUCUGCCAGUUUAUCACUAUAUUUUUUCAGAGAUUUGAUGGCUUGUUUAAUGUUGUUGGAGCCGUCAAAAUGAGUUGGAGCCAUGCAUUUUAUGACAGUCAAACAUGGGAAAGGGUUCUUAAGGAUAGAAUGGGAUCUGCACUGAUGACUGAAACAAACGGCAAGGAAUCCCACAUGGCCUAACGUAGAUGCUGUAAGUACCACAAUAAACAGAAGGAUGAUGCCAAAAGCUUUUGUGUUCAGAAACUAUGGUCAUUUUCCAGGAAUCCACUCUCAUUAUUUGGGAGGCUGUCAGUAUAAAAUGUGGCAGGCCAUUAGAGCCCCGUCUGCUGCUCAGGCUGCUUUGCAGAAUAUGCAUUGGGAAUGGUCUUCAUCAAGAGGGAGGUUUGCUUUUGAAUAGCCCUUUGGCCCUGGCAAUGCGUGAGUGUAGCUGUCUUUGGCCUGAUGUCCCAUUAGAGUUCAUAGUAUCCCUGGGCACUGGAUGCUAUGACAGUGACGUGAGAAACACCGUGACACACACAAGCUUGAAAACCAAACUUCCUAACAUUACCAACAGUGCUACAGAUACAGAAGAAGUCCAUAUAACGCCUGAUGGUCUGUUACCUCCUGACACCUAUUUUAGAUUCAAUCCUGUAAUGUGUGAAAACAUACCUCUAGAUAAAAGUCGAAAUGAAAAACUGGAUCAGCUGCAGUUACAAGGGUUGAAGUACAUAGAAAGAAAUGAACAAAGGAUGAAAAAAGUUGCAAAAAUAUUAAGUCAAGAAAAAACAACUCUGCAGAAAAUUAAUGAAUGGAUAAAAUUAAAAACUGACAUGUAUGAAGGCCUUCCAUUCUUUUCAAAAUUGUGAUGAGUGUGUGCAUAUGUUCUCAUAAAUGAAGGCCUGUCCAGAAGACUCACCAAAUUCAAUAAGGAAUUGUGGGGUUCAACAUGUCUUAAUGUUGAAAUACUUAUGAAUUCUGGGAAAUCCUGAAAAAGGUGGUGCUUUGGCCAGCUUGCACAGCACAAAGGAUUUGCUUGGCUACAGAAUUCAUAUGGGAAUUAGAUUUUUUAAAUGUUAAUAAUUAACUAAACUUAAGGAAUUGUAUUAUUGUGCUAGUUGGUUUUAGUAGAUAUUGGUGUUAUAUUGUUUGAUGUUCGAAAAUGUAUUAAUAUGUGUGCCAAACAAGAAAC